AUUGAACGCUGGCGGAAUGCUUUACACAUGCAAGUCGAACGGUAGAGGGGGCAACCCCUCGAGAGUGGCGAACGGGUGAGUAAUAUAUCGGAACGUGCCCAGUCGUGGGGGAUAACGUAGCGAAAGUUACGCUAAUACCGCAUACGAUCUAAGGAUGAAAGCGGGGGAUCGCAAGACCUCGCGCGAUUGGAGCGGCCGAUAUCAGAUUAGGUAGUUGGUGGGGUAAAGGCUCACCAAGCCAACGAUAGGUAGCUGGUCUGAGAGGACGACCAGCCACACUGGAACUGAGACACGGUCCAGACUCCUACGGGAGGCAGCAGUGGGGAAUUUUGGACAAUGGACGCAAGUCUGAUCCAGCCAUUCCGCGUGCAGGAUGAAGGCCCUCGGGUUGUAAACUGCUUUUGUACGGAACGAAAAGGUCUCUCUUAAUACGGGGGACUCAUGACGGUACCGUAAGAAUAAGCACCGGCUAACUACGUGCCAGCAGCCGCCGUAA
rnacentral:rRNA from 1 species